rnacentral:lncRNA from 1 species
UACUGCUUCAUGGAUGGUACAGGUACUUUAUGGGUGGAACAGGUACUUCAUGGAUAGUACAGAUACUUCAUGGAUAGUGCAGGUACUUCAUGGAUAGAACAGGUACUGCAUGGAUAGCACAGGUACUUCAUGGAUAGUACAGAUACUUCAUGGAUAGUGCAGGUACUUCAUGGGUAGUACAGGUAUUUCAUGGAUGGUACAGGUACUUCAUGGGUGGUACAGGUACUUCAUGGGUAGUACAGGUACUUCAUGGAUGGUACAGGUACUUCAUGGGUAGUACAGGUACUUCAUGGAUGGUACAGGUACUUCAUGGGUAGUACACAUUCUUCAUAUAUAGUAUAGAUACUUCAUGAUGGUACAGGUACUUCAUGGGUAGUACAGGUACUUCAUGGGUAGAACAGGUACUUCAUGGAUAGACCAGGUACUUCAUGGAUAGAACAGGUACUUCAUGGAUAGAAUAGGUACUUCAUGGAUAGUACAGAUACUUCAUGGGUAGUACAGGUACUUCAUGGAUAGAACAGGUACUUCAUGGGUAGAACAGGUACUGUGUAAUAGACUAUUCACAGUCCCUUUGUACGGUCCUUUAUAAUGUUGCUUUCACUCAUUUUGCUUUACCAUAUGCUGUAAUCACCCAAUUCACUGUUGCUAUUAUUACUUUGAACAAAGAGUUAUCAAUUAGAUCAAUUGAGAAUAAGAAAUGUAAAGGUUAUAUUUUACAUUAGCUUAUUCGUUUCCCAAUGCUCUUCCUUUCUUUAUGUGCAUCUAAGUUCCUGACCUGUAUAGUUUUUCUUCUUCCUGAGUAACUUCUUUUAACAUUUUUCUAAGACAAGUCUGCUGGCAAUAAGUUCUCUCAGUUUUUGUUUGUCAGAGAAAGUCUUUAUUUCUCCUUCAGUUUUACAGGAUGAUUUCACAAGAUACAGAAUUCUAAGUUGGUAUUUUUUCCUUUCAACGCUUUAAAUCUUUCACUCCACUCUCUUCUUGCUGUCUUGGAUUCUGAUGAGAAGGCCAAUGGAAUUCUUAUCCUUGUUUUUCUCCUCUGGCUUCUUUCAUGAUUUUCUCUUUGUCUUUGUUUUUCUGAAGUUUGACUAUGAUAUGUUUAAGUGUAGUUUUUAUGGUGUUUAUCCUGCUUCUUGUUCUCUGAAUUUCCUGCAUCUGUGGUUUGGCAUCUGUCAUUAAUUUUGGAAAAUUCUUGGCCAUAAUUGCUGCAAGUAUUUCUUCUGCUCUCUUCUCCCUUUCUUCUUCUGGUGUUCCAAGUAUGUGGAUAUUACACCUUUUGAAAUUGUCCCACAAUUCUUGGAUAUUCUAUUCUGGGAGUUUUUUGUUUUGUUUUUUCAUUAUUUUUUCUCUUUGCCUUUCAGUUUGGGAAGUUUCCGUAAGAUAUCUUCAAGCUCACUGAUUUUUCCCUUGAUUGUAUCCAGUCUGUUAAUGAGCCCAGUAGAGACGUUCUUCAUUUUUGUUACAGUGUGGGUUUUUUUAUUUCUAGCAUUCCUUUUUUAUUAUUUUGUGGUGUUUUCAUCUCUCUGCUUGCAUCACCUGUCCUUCCAUGUUAUCUGCUUUUUCCAUUAGAACCUUUAACAGUAGCCAUGGUUAUUUUAAAUUCUAAA